GACGAACGCUGGCGGCGUGCUUAACACAUGCAAGUCGAACGGAGAGGCCCAGCUUUCGUGGGGUGCUAGAGUGGCAAACGGGAGUGUAACACGUGUGUAACCUGCCUUAGACUUUGGUAUAACUUGAGGAAUCUGGCGAAUAUACCGGAUAGGCGCUCCUGCUGCAUGGUGGGGGUGGGAAAGUUUCGGCGGUUGGGGAUGGACUCGCGGCUUAUCAGCUUGUUGGUGGGGUAGUGGCUUACCAAGGCCUUGACGGGUAGCCGGCCUGAGAGGGUGACCGGCCACACUGGGACUGAGAUACGGCCCAGACUCCUACGGGAGGCAGCAGUGGGGAAUAUUGCACAAUGGGCGGAAGCCUGAUGCAGCAACGCCGCGUGCGGGAUGACGGCCUUCGGGUUGUAAACCGCUUUCGCCUGUGACGAAGCGUGAGUGACGGUAAUGGGUGAAGAAGCACCGGCUAACUACGUG
rnacentral:rRNA from 1 species